CCUACGGGAGGCAGCAGUGAGGAAUAUUGGUCAAUGGACGCAAGUCUGAACCAGCCAUGCCGCGUGCAGGAAGACGGCUCUAUGAGUUGUAAACUGCUUUUGUACGAGGGUAAACGCAGAUACGCGUAUCUGUCUGAAAGUCUCGUACGAAUAAGGAUCGGCUAACUCCGUGCCAGCCGCCGCGGUAAUACGGAGGAUUCAAGCGUUAUCCGGAUUUAUUGGGUUUAAAGGGUGCGUAGGCGGUCGGAUAAGUUAGAGGUGAAAUCCCGAGGCUCAACUUCGGAAUUGCCUCUGAUACUGUUCGGCUAGAGAGUAGUUGCGGUAGGCGGAAUGUAUGGUGUAGCGGUGAAAUGCUUAGAUAUCAUACAGAACACCGAUUGCGAAGGCAGCUUACCAAGCUACUUCUGACGUUGAGGCACGAAAGCGUGGGGAGCAAACAGGAUUAGAUACCCGAGUAGUC
rnacentral:rRNA from 1 species